UACGUAGGGGGCAAGCGUUGUCCGGAAUCAUUGGGCGUAAAGAGCGUGUAGGCGGCCAGAUAAGUCCGCUGUGAAAUCUCGAGGCUCAACUUCGAGCUGUCGGUGGAAACUGUCUGGCUAGAGUCCGGGAGAGGAGAAUGGAAUUCCUGGUGUAGCGGUGAAAUGCGCAGAUAUCAGGAAGAACACCCGUGGCGAAAGCGGCUCUCUGGAACGGUACUGACGCUGAGACGCGAAAGCGUGGGGAGCGAACAGG
rnacentral:rRNA from 1 species